UAGGGAAUCUUCCACAACGGACGAAAGUCUGAUGGAGCAACGCCGCGUGAGUGAAGAAGGGUUUCGGCUCGUAAAACUCUGUUGUUAAAGAAGAACAUAUCUGAGAGUAACUGUUCAGGUAUUGACGGUAUUUAACCAGAAAGCCACGGCUAACUACGUGCCAA
rnacentral:rRNA from 1 species